rnacentral:lncRNA from 1 species
GAGGCGAUUGUGAACGACAGGGUGCAGCGAGAUCGAGUAGGGCAUUAGACAGAGGUUGGGGGGUGGGAGGCGAGACCACUUUCUAUGAUGGGUGGGGUGAACCUGGUGAGAUCGGUUAGCUCGACCCCGGUCUACUUGCUGGCUCACACUACUAUGCCCAAGGCUUCGCUGGUGAAGGCGGAGCAGCUGUUCAAGAACUUCAUAUGGGGAGUGUAGGAUGGUAGGAGGGGACUUCAUCUUGUUGCUUGGGAGGUGGUACGUUAGCCCUUAGGCUGCGGGGGUCUAGGUAUCUGUUCUUUAUUGAUGAGGAGGGAGGCUAUGGCGGCCAGACAUGUCGCUUGGUUCUUGCUUGAGCCGGAUGGCCUGCGGAGCUCCUUGAUGAGAGCUAAGUACGGUGACUGGGCAUGGCACCAGACUUCCAAGCUGAUUGGUGUAGCUCCUUUAUAUGGCGGGAGGUGCUCUCGUGCUCCAGAGGUGACUGCUUGAAUUAGGUGGGAAGUCGAUGAUGGCUAGUCGACAGAUGUACUGAAUGAUACCUGGUUGUCUGAUCUUCCUAUUUGGCUGUGACCAACCUUGGUUGAUGUGGAGAGUUCGGGCUUUAGGGUGUGCGAUCUCUUCAGUCCGGGGGAGAGGAGAUGGGAUGCAGUGAAGGUUCAACACAUUUUUGAGGAUCAAUUGGCAGAGAGGAUUUUAGCCGUGUCGGUUCCUAGGAGGAGGACCUGAUAGGACCUGGAGUUCAACAAGCAUAUCCAAGUUAAGAGCCAGUGACCUUGGAGAGUUGUACAGAGUUGAGGCAUCUCGGUUGAUCGAUGGCGGCUGGCUUUGGAGGCUCCAUGUUCACCCCUGGGUUGCUUUAUUUCUCUGGAAGGUUGCAUGGGGCCUCCUUCCGACCAGAGGAGUUUUGAGCAGACGGAGUGUGAGGCUCCACUCUACCUGUGAUGGGUUGCGGAAUGUAGAGGAGUCCUUUGAGCAUGUGCUAUUUCGUUGCCCGAGGGCAUUCUAGGUGUGGUAGCUAAUCGGAGGCGGCUGAGGUUUCUUGCAGUCUCCGACUUCGGUCACAACCUUCCUCGCUUACCUGCAGGCAUGGAAUGCCGUACCGGCCCGUACCGGCCGGUACGGGCCGGUACGUACCGGUCCGGUCCGGUCCUAGACCGGUACCGGAACGGAUAAAAAACCGGUAUUUUCCGGUUUUUAUCCGAACCGGCUGGUACGGGUGCGUACCGGCCGGUACGGGCCCGUACCGGCCGGUACCGGCCUCGUACCGGUGCGAACCGGCCGGUUCGCACCGGACGUUUUUUUUUUUUUUAAGAACCACAGCGCCGCGCGCUGUGGUUUUUGAAACUACCGCAUACCGGCCGGUACGUACCGGACCGGUACCGUACCGGUCCGGCCGGCCACCGGUACGCCGACCGAUACCGGUACGGCGGACCUUGCCUGCAGGGAUCUCUCAGCAGACCUGUCACUAAUGCGAGGGGAGUCAGUGCUGCCUAUGUUGCUUAUCACAUAUGAUUGGACUGUUGAGUUACGCCCCCAUGCAAUGCGACGAUCGCAGCGGAAUAUCGCACGGGACGUCGUUCAUCGUAUGAACGCGCCACAGAUCGUAGAGUUCAAAAAUUUUUCCAGAUCCAAAUCCAGAAGACCUUUGAACUCAUGAAGGAGGGAAGAUUAGGAUCUGAAAGAGGUUGAUUAGAUAUCAUAAAAACUGAAACAAAAAUCAGAAACAAAGAUUCAAAGAUCUCAUCUUCAAACUUUGUGUAGGUGGAUAAACACCGCAGCCUGAUGAUAUUUGGAGGUUUCCGUUGCAGAGAUCAGAUUUCACUGGAGUGCUAGCUCCUUGCAGAGAUCUCUCAUGACUAUCAAUGAUGAUUAAGAAAAAUCAGCAACAUACCUCUUUGAAGAAGAACUCUUUCUUCUUCAACCUUGCUCGCGAUGGAGGAGGAGAAAGGAGAAGCUUGCACCGUGGAUCUUCCUUGCCUUACUGCCGUGGAAGAAGAAGAUGAAGAGGGCCUCUUGCUGCCGUGGAAGAGGAAGGAGAGGGCGGCGUGGAAAGGAAAGUCCCUUCUUUCCUUGGCGUGUAGGCUCCUCUCUAGGGUUCUCUUCUCAUGCUUCCAAUGGCACCUUGAAAGACGAAGAAGAAUGCCUCCUUGCUGCCGUGGGAGAAGAGGAGAGGAAGAGAGAGGAGGCGUGGAGAAGGAAACUCCAAUUCAUGCUCUCACACGCCUUCAAUGCCCUUUUUAUAAUUGAUGGCCUAGGAUUUUUUCAAGGCUUAUCAUGACAAAGAGAUAAACUCUUCAUAAUCGCCCACCCUUGGAUCAAUGCCAAGUGUCUAUGGCGCCAUGAUCAUGUGGAUUAGAAUCCACUUAGGUGGCGCCUCAAAUCAAUGCAUGACAUGUGUCCUUGAAUCUAGAGAUUUGAGCCUAAUCACAUUGGGCUUGGACCUCUUUCAUGGCGCCAUGGUUGAGUCCUAAUCACAUUAGGACUUGUCCCAUAAUUAGGCUAACUCUUAAUCACAUUAGGAGAAUUAGAUGGGGUGCCAUGCAUCCUACAACGACAUGUGAACUUUAGAGUCCGCAUGGUGUGAACACGACUUAAUGCAUUUUCAUCCUACAAUGCCAUUGGAUUUUAAAAUCCGCAUAGUGUGAACACGACUUAAGGCAUAUAUCCUGAUCUAAUCAGGGUUGACCCAAUCAUGAGCCGAACCCAAUUUGAUUUGGCUCAUUAAAUCAGCCCAAUUGCAAUCUAAUUGCAAUCAAUUCCUCUUAAUUCUUCUUCCAUUAACCCAUUAACAUUUAGUAGGUUAAUUCAAUCACCAAUCAUAUUGAUAAUUGACAUCAAUUGUGAUUCUAAAUCACAAUUAUGAUAGUCUAACUAAUCAAAUCCUCUAUGUGUGAGACUCAGUAGGUUUUAUUCUGUCUGGUAGUGAGACAUAUUGAGAUCUCCAUCUCAAUAUCACUGAAACUUCUUUCAGUGGACCGAAACAAUUUCAGUUCUACUCUUAGGGUUCAUUGAUCACUAAGUGAAUGCCUUCGAGUCUAACAAUUCACUAAUGACACCUAGCACUAUGUGGUGGCAAUCUAGCAAUUCACUAAUCAGGGUUGACCCAAUCAUGAGCCCAACUCAAUUUGGGUCGAACCCAAUUUGAUU